rnacentral:rRNA from 1 species
UACGUAGGGACCGAGCGUUGUCCGGAUUCAUUGGGCGUCAAGAGCUCGUAGGCGGCCACUCAAGUCGAAUGUGAAACCUCGAGGCUUAACCUCGAGCCUGCAUUUGAUACUGGGCGGCUAGAGUCUGGUAGGGGGAUCUGGAAUUCCUGGUGUAGCGGUGGAAUGCGCAGAUAUCAGGAGGAACACCGGUGGCGAAGGCGGGAUCCUGGGCCAGUACUGACGCUGAGGAGCGAAAGCGUGGGGAGCAAACAGG